GAAUAUUAUACAUACAUGUAUAUAUAUAAUCUAUAAUCUAUAAUAUAUUAAAAAUAGGAUUAAUUACGCCAAAAGCCAUUAACUAUACCCCAAUUUUCAAACAUUCCAUGAACUUUUUUUUAUAUCAGAAAUUCCCUGAAUUUAAGAAGUUGAACAAUUUUUCCACGUUUUUUUCUCCGGUGAAACUCCGGGCUGACUUGUCGCCUACAUGGUAAUAUUAAGCUGACAUGGCGCUUAUUUGGACAGAAAAAUUGACACUUAGAAAAAAAAUGAACAAAAAAAAAGCAAAAAAAGAAAACAAAAAACCAUUCUCUUCCCCCUCCGACAAACUCCACUGCCGCCUCUCUCUCCACCGUCCACCACCCUCCCCCCGGCUCCACCGCCCACCGCCUUCCCCCACCACCCCGCAGAUCCGCCUUCCCCUCUC
rnacentral:lncRNA from 1 species